rnacentral:rRNA from 1 species
CACGUAGGGCGCAAGCGUUGUCCGGAAUUAUUGGGCGUAAAGAGCUUGUAGGCGGUCCGUCACGUCCGCUGUGAAAACCCAGGGCUCAACCCUGGGCUGCAGUGGAUACGGGCAGACUAGAGGUAGGUAGGGGAGAAUGGAAUUCCCGGUGUAGCGGUGAAAUGCGCAGAUAUCAGGAGGAACACCAAUGGCGAAGGCAGCUCGCUGGGACGGUACUGACGCUGAGACGCGAAAGCGUGGGGAGCAAACAGG